GCAAGUAAAGGGGACCGCAAGGUAACCGGCAGACGAGAUAGUAACGCGUAGGAACGUACCCAGAAGUCGGGCACAGCUCGCCGAAAGGCGGGGUAAUUCCCGAUGGUGACGAAAGUCUAAAGAUUUAUCGCUUCUGGAGCGGCCUGCGUAAUAUCAGCUUGUUGGUGAGGUAAUGGCUCACCAAGGCUAUGACGUUUAGGGGGGCUGAGAGGCUGACCCCCAUCGAUGGAAUUGAGAUACGGUCCAUACUCCUACGGGAGGCUGCAGUCGAGAAUAUUCGACAAUGGGCGAAAGCCUGAUCGAGCGACACCGCGUGGUGGACGAAGUCCUUCGGGACGUAAACAUCUUUUAUGAGGGAGGAAGUUAUUGACGUUA
rnacentral:rRNA from 1 species